GCGGAGGACUUCAAAACUGUCGCGGAAGGUGAAUACGAUGUCGAUGGUUCGAU
rnacentral:tRNA from 17 species